rnacentral:tRNA from 1 species
GCCCUGGAAGUCCAGCAGUUAGGACUCUGCACUUCCACUGCAGCUGGCAUGGGUUCAAUUCCUGGUCGGGGAG